GCCGGGAAGGGUCGGCCCCGGCUCCGCCUGGUGCUGUUGCCCGUGCUGGUGCUGCCCAGCUCGGGGCCCUGGCGUCCUAGCGUGACCCGGGAGACUCCGCUGGGCGGCCCGGGGCGGUGCCGGCCGCUGUCCGGGCGCCACUGCCCCAAGGUGAGCCUGACCUUCUCCGCUCCAGCGGGUGGGCCUGCGCUCGCCGACCCACCGAAUCCUGGGUUAGCCCGGGCGGACGAGCUCGGCCCCCUCGGCCUGUCGCGGCCCCUGGGCGCCCGCCACCGGCCCAGGGCCCGUGAGGGGACGGGGCGCCGGGGCGGGGGGCUGCGUGUCCCCCCGCCGGGCUUGCAGGCCGCCGGCCAGGGGCCUGGCAAGCCUGCAGGCGCUGGCGGCACAGGCUCAGAUCAGGGAAGGGAAAGAAGGCAGUCAAGGCUGGGUCGGUGGGGAGGAGGUCGAAAGCGCCACGUCCACCCCAUUUUUCAGCUCGAGCCUGAGCUCUCUAGUGGGUUAGCACGAGCCCCCUAAGGAAAGCAGUGUCGGGGGUCCUGAUGCUGGGAAGACGGUGAGUCACGGUCAAUGUCUGGGAGCCGCAGCGCGCAAGUAUUCAAGUCUGAGGAGCUGGAGUUGCAGGUAGAGUAAUACGUAAGACUUCUAGGCUUCCUGUUAGGUCCAGGAAUAUCUGGUAUGAGUAACAGCUUGGAGGUGCUGCCGCUGAGUCACUAGAGGGCUUUUGAGUUCCGAUUGCGUAAAGAGGCGUGUCAGCACCCUUUUCGAGGGCGCCCAAGCAGAACACACGCUACGGCAAGCGAAACCUGCGCUCCUUCGUUUGUAAUGGUGGAAACUGAAAAAAAACGUCGAACAGCUGAUGGAGUUUUAUUACACCACCCCAACAAGGUACUACUGCAGGGAACUGAAAAUUAAGAGGCUAAACCGUUGUUAUGCCUUGGGGGAAGGUGUGAACUGGCGAGAUGAAGAAAGGAGCUGAUUUUAUCAGGCACAGCAUAGUAACCAGCAUAAAGAAAGUGGUCAGAAGGGAUUCAGCCAGAAAAUUAGCAAGCGGAGCACAGGAUUAGGCCUCUAAAGAAUAUAUUGGUGCUUGACCUUCCUCUUAGUUAUCAAUGACGUUCAUCAGUACAAAUUAAAUACACCGUAGAAUGUAAAAUCAUGACUGGACUAUGCCAAUGAUAAUCUAUUAAAUAAAAUGUUUUAAAUGUUA